rnacentral:rRNA from 1 species
CCCUUAGAUGUUCUGGGCCGCACGCGUGCUACACUGAGUGGAUCAGCGGGUCAGGUUGCGCGAAAGCGUUUCCUAAUCUUUAAAUCCGCUCGUGAUGGGGAUUGACGGUUGCAAUUUUCUGUCGUGAACGAGGAAUACCUUGUAAGCGCGGGUCAUCAUCCCGCGCUGAAUACGUCCCUGCCCUUUGUACACACCGCCCGUCGCUCCUACCGAUUGAGUGGUCCGGUGAGGCUUUGGGAUCUGAGCGGAAAGAGCGUUUCGCUGUUUCUGCUCGGAGAACUCAGUCGAACCUUAUCAUUUAGAGGAAGGAGAAGUCGUAACA